AUGGGGUGGACUUACCAUGCAAGUCGAACGGUAACAGGGAGCUUGCUCCGCUGACGAGUGGCGAACGGGUGAGUAAUACAUCGGAACGUGCCCAGUAAUGGGGGAUAGCUCGGCGAAAGCCGGAUUAAUACCGCAUACGCCCUGAGGGGGAAAGUGGGGGACCGCAAGGCCUCACGUUAUUGGAGCGGCCGAUGGCUGAUUAGCUAGUUGGUAGGGUAAAGGCCUACCAAGGCGACGAUCAGUAGCUGGUCUGAGAGGACGAUCAGCCACACUGGGACUGAGACACGGCCCAGACUCCUACGGGAGGCAGCAGUGGGGAAUUUUGGACAAUGGGGGAAACCCUGAUCCAGCAAUGCCGCGUGUGCGAAGAAGGCCUUCGGGUUGUAAAGCACUUUUGUCAGGGAAGAAAUCCUUUGGGCUAAUACCCUAGGGGGAUGACGGUACCUGAAGAAUAAGCACCGGCUAACUACGUGCCAGCAGCCGCGGUAAUACGUAGGGUGCAAGCGUUAAUCGGAAUUACUGGGCGUAAAGCGUGCGCAGGCGGUUGUGUAAGACAGGUGUGAAAUCCCCGGGCUUAACCUGGGAAUUGCAUUUGUGACUGCACGACUAG
rnacentral:rRNA from 1 species